rnacentral:misc_RNA from 1 species
AACCAUAGAAACCUGCGGAGUACCUGCGGAGGGAUCAUUACAGAGAAUUUGCCCGUCUGGGUAGAUCUCCCACCCUUUGUUUACUAUACCUUUGUUGCUUUGGCAAGCCUGUCUUGUGACUACUGGCCUCCAGCUAGUAAGUGCUUGCCAGAGGACCCCAAACACUUUACAUUGUGUUGUCUGAGUAGUACAGAAAUUUUUAAAACUUUCAACAACGGAUCUCAGAUCGGAAGAGCACAC